NNNNNNNNNNNNNNNNNNNNNNNNNNNNNNNNNNNNNAGACUCAAUUCCAGGCAGGCUCGGUGGGCACUUUUUUUCGGUCGUUUUGAGUUUACUUUAUCGUACCGCCCGGGUUCCAAAAAUGUCAAACCCGAUUCUUUAUCACGUCUUUUUGAUCCCUCCGCCCGCCCGGUGACUCCCGAGUGUAUUUUACCUGAGAAGUUAGUGGUCUCAGCACUCGUAUGGGAGGUCGAGUCGAAGGUCAAGACGGCCUUACAAGGGGUAACGCCUCCGUCCGGUUGCCCACCGAACCGUUUAUUUGUGCCGGAGGAGUUAAGGUCUGAAGUCAUUCAGUGGGGUCACUGCUCUAACGUGGCUUGUCACCCAGGGAUAAGUCGAACUAAUGGGUUGGUUAAACAACGAUUCUGGUGGCCACGUAUGGCUCGUGACGUCCGCGAUUUUGUGUUGGCUUGCUCAGUUUGCGCCAGUGGUAAGUCAUCUAACCGACCUCCUGAUGGGCUCCUUCAACCGCUGUCUGUCCCUUCGAGACCCUGGUCCCACAUCGCUCUAGAUUUUGUUACCCCCUCUAAUGACAUGACGGUCGUUUUGACCGUAGUGGACCGGUUCUCGAAGGCGGCACCUUUCAUUACCUUGCCCAAAUUACCGACAGCCAAGGAGACAGCGGUCACUGUCCUAGAUCACGUCUUUCCGCUUCAUGGCCUCCCGGUAGACGUGGUUUCUGACAGGUGAUCUCAAUUUAUAUCCAGAUUUUGGAAAGAGUUUUGUAAAUUGCUAGGAGCGUCAGUUAGCUUGUCUUCGGGUUAUCAUCCCCAGAGCAACGGACAGUCUGAGCGAGUCAACCAAGAUUUAGAGAGGACGUUGCGAUGUUUGGUCUCCAAGAAUCCUUCUUCCUGGAGUCAACAACUCUUUAUGGUGGAGUACGCUCACAAUUCGUUACCAGUGUUAGCCACGGGCCUUUCUCCGUUCCAAUGCAGUUUAGGUUACCAGCCACCAGUUUUUCCCAGUCUGGAAUCUGAAGUCGCGGUCCCCUCCGCUCACGCGUUUGUCCAGAGGUGCCACCGCACCUGGACCAGAGCCCGCGAGACU
ensembl:lncRNA